rnacentral:rRNA from 1 species
ACGCGUGAAGUUGACCGCCUGGGGAGUACGGCCGCAAGGUUAAAACUCAAAGGAAUUGACGGGGACCCGCACAAGCGGUGGAUGAUGUGGAUUAAUUCGAUGCAACGCGAAAAACCUUACCUACCCUUGACAUGGCAGGAACUUUCCAGAGAUGGAUUGGUGCUCGAAAGAGAACCUGCACACAGGUGCUGCAUGGCUGUCGUCAGCUCGUGUCGUGAGAUGUUGGGUUAAGUCCCGCAACGAGCGCAACCCUUGUCAUUAGUUGCUACGAAAGGGCACUCUAAUGAGACUGCCGGUGACAAACCGGAGGAAGGUGGGGAUGACGUCAAGUCCUCAUGGCCCUUAUGGGUAGGGCUUCACACGUCAUACAAUGGUCGGUACAGAGGGUUGCCAAGCCGCGAGGUGGAGCCAAUCCCAGAAAACCGAUCGUAGUCCGGAUCGCAGUCUGCAACUCGACUGCGUGAAGUCGGAAUCGCUAGUAAUCGCGGAUCAGAAUGCCGCGGUGAAUACGUUCCCGGGCUUU